rnacentral:rRNA from 1 species
UGAGUAACCUGCCCUUGACUCUGGGAUAAGCGCUAGAAAUGGCGUCUAAUACCGGAUACGAGCUUCAGCCGCAUGGCUAGGAGUUGGAAAGAAUUUUGGUCAAGGAUGGACUCGCGGCCUAUCAGCUAGUUGGUGAGGUAAUGGCUCACCAAGGCGACGACGGGUAGCCGGCCUGAGAGGGUGACCGGCCACACUGGGACUGAGACACGGCCCAGACUCCUACGGGAGGCAGCAGUGGGGAAUAUUGCACAAUGGGCGAAAGCCUGAUGCAGCAACGCCGCGUGAGGGAUGACGGCCUUCGGGUUGUAAACCUCUUUUAGUAGGGAAGAAGCGAAAGUGACGGUACCUGCAGAAAAAGCACCGGCUAACUACGUGCCAGCAGCCGCGGUAAUACGUAGGGUGCAAGCGUUGUCCGGAAUUAUUGGGCGUAAAGAGCUCGUAGGCGGUUUGUCGCGUCUGCUGUGAAAUCUGGGGGCUCAACCCCCAGCCUGCAGUGGGUACGGGCAGACUAGAGUGCGGUAGGGGAGAUUGGAAUUCCUGGUGUAGCGGUGGAAUGCGCAGAUAUCAGGAGGAACACCGAUGGCGAAGGCAGAUCUCUGGGCCGUAACUGACGCUGAGGAGCGAAAGCGUGGGGAGCGAACAGGAUUAGAUACCCUGGUAGUCCACGCCGUAAACGUUGGGAACUAGAUGUGGGGGCCAUUCCACGGUCUCCGUGUCGCAGCUAACGCAUUAAGUUCCCCGCCUGGGGAGUACGGCCGCAAGGCUAAAACUCAAAGGAAUUGACGGGGGCCCGCACAAGCGGCGGAGCAUGCGGAUUAAUUCGAUGCAACGCGAAGAACCUUACCAAGGCUUGACAUAUACCGGAAACGUCCAGAGAUGGUCGCCCCGCAAGGUCGGUAUACAGGUGGUGCAUGGUUGUCGUCAGCUCGUGUCGUGAGAUGUUGGGUUAAGUCCCGCAACGAGCGCAACCCUCGUUCUAUGUUGCCAGCACGUUAUGGUGGGAACUCAUAGGAGACUGCCGGGGUCAACUCGGAGGAAGGUGGGGAUGACGUCAAAUCAUCAUGCCCCUUAUGUCUUGGGCUUCACGCAUGCUACAAUGGCCGGUACAAAGGGCUGCGAUACCGUAAGGUGGAGCGAAUCCCAAAAAGCCGGUCUCAGUUCGGAUUGAGGUCUGCAACUCGACCUCAUGAAGUCGGAGUCGCUAGUAAUCGCAGAUCAGCAACGCUGCGGUGAAUACGUUCCCGGGCCUUGUACACACC